AAAAAAAAAAAAAAAAAAAAUAAAAAAUAAAGGCUUAUAUAUUGGCCAACAUAUAUAGUUCAGUAUACAAUACAUUAGACUACACCACUAGUUGGACUGUUGUACUUCUUCUUUUUGCCACCAGACCUUGGACAUUUUCCUCAUUUUGUCUGACAUGUACAGUGAAUACUAUAUGGAAGCUCUGUGAUAUAAAUGAUCUGUCUGUCUUGAACACUUUGUUCCAGGAUAAAAAAACAUUGCUGCCAUUGUUGAGUUCAGAAAUGGUGUCAUAAUCACUCCAGCCUGAGCUAUUUUCAAUUCAGCUAAGUUACGUACAAGUCUAUUCACAACAAGCCUGAUCACUGGCAGUAUAAAUGCCUUUAGUGCAUAACACUUUUGUUUGAAUCUUGUGUGUUGAUGGUUGUCAGGGUUAUGAGUGUAUGUCAAAUGACCAGCAAUCAAUGUUGAUUAAUGUUAAUUCAGGCAUUUGUGUUUGCUAUUUGUAAAAAAUAGUAAGUAGUUAAAAUAUAUAUUUUGCUUUGUAUAGUAUUUUAAAAAUAUCUUUAAAAUAAAGUGCGUAGUGAAAAGCUAUAAGGCGGCAUGAUAUUUUUUAUUUUCUCUAUAUACAGUAAUUGAAGUCAGUGUUUUUGGAAAAAACACCUGGCAAGCAGCUUUUUCUGCAGUCAACUUAAAAGGUUCACUUCACGCAGCUUUAAACCUCUGAUUCUCCAUCCAGCGCGUCUCAACGGUACAAUAAAAAUGUUCCAUACUGCUGAA